rnacentral:rRNA from 1 species
GGUAAAUCCGGGGACAUAAUUCUGAGACGUGACGACGAGGUUUCUAUUGAAACUGAAGUGGUUGAUGCCAUGCUUCCAGGAAAAACCUCUAAGCAUCAGGUUAGAUGUGUCCGUACUCUAAACCGACACAGGUGGACAGGGCGAGAAGCCCAAGGCGCUUGAGACAACUCGGGUGAAGGAACUCGGCAAAAUGACACCGUAACUUCGGGAGAAGGUGUGCCUCUGGUAGGUGAAGGUCCUUGCGACUGGAGCUGAAGGAGGUUGCAAUAAAGAGGUGGCUGCGACUGUUUAUUAAAAACAUAGCACUCUGCAAACUCGAAAGAGGACGUAUAGGGUGUGACGCCUGCCCGGUGCCGGAAGGUUAAUUGAUGGGGUUAGUCUUCGGACGAAGCUCUUGAUCGAAGCCCCGGUGAACGGCGGCCGUAACUAUAACGGUCCUAAGGUAGCGAAAUUCCUUGUCGGGUAAGUUCCGACCUGCACGAAUGGCGUAACGAUGGCCACACUGUCUCCACCCGGGACUCAGUGAAAUUGAACUUGCUGUGAAGAUGCAGUGUACCCGCACCAAGACGGAAAGACCCCGUGCACCUUUACUACAGCUUUACGCUGGACUUUGAACAUGUUUGUGUAGGAUAGGUGGGAGGCUUUGAAGCGUGAACGCUAGUUUGCGUGGAGCCAACCUUGAAAUACCACCCUGACAUGUUUGGGGCCCUAACCGAGACCCGUUAUCCGGGUCCGGGACCGCGUAUGGUGGGUAGUUUGACUGGGGCGGUCUCCUCCCAAAGAGUAACGGAGGAGCGCGAAGGUACUCUAAGCGCGGUCGGAAAUCGCGCGGUUAGUGCAAAGGCAUAAGAGUGCUUGACUGCGAGACUGACACGUCGAGCAGGUGGGAAACCAGGUCUUAGUGAUCCGGUGGUUCUGUAUGGAAGGGCCAUCGCUCAACGGAUAAAAGGUACGCCGGGGAUAACAGGCUGAUACCCCCCAAGAGUUCACAUCGACGGGGGUGUUUGGCACCUCGAUGUCGGCUCAUCACAUCCUGGGGCUGUAGCCGGUCCCAAGGGUAUGGCUGUUCGCCAUUUAAAGUGGUACGCGAGCUGGGUUUAGAACGUCGUGAGACAGUUUGGUCCCUAUCUGGUGUGGGCGUUAGAAACUUGAGAGGAGCUGCUCCUAGUACGAGAGGACCGGAGUGGACGUACCUCUGGUGUUCCAGUUGUCAUGCCAAUGGCAUUGCUGGGUAGCUAUGUACGGACGGGAUAACCGCUGAAAGCAUCUAAGCGGGAAGCCCCCCUCAAGAUUAGGUUUCUCUGGACCUUUAAGGUCCCUAAAGGGUCGUUGUAGACUACAACGUUGAUAGGCGAGGUGUGGAAGCGCAGCAAUGCGUUAAGCUAACUCGUACUAAUUGCCCGUGAGGCUUGAUCAU